CCAAUAGCGUAUAUUAAAGUUGUUGCAGUUAAAAAGCUCGUAGUUGAAUUUCGGGAUCAAUAUGUUUGGUCGUGCCUCGGUACGUACUAGCUUAUUGGUUUCUCCUUUCUGAAGAACCAUGAUGUCAUUCAUUUGGUGUCGUGGGGAAUCAGGACUGUUACUUUGAAAAAAUUAGAGUGUUUAAAGCAGGCUCACGCUUGAAUACAUUAGCAUGGAAUAAUGAAAUAGGACGUUUGAUUCUAUUUUGUUGGUUUCUAGGAUCGACGUAAUGAUUAAUAGGGAUAGUUGGGGGCAUUAGUAUUCAAUUGUCAGAGGUGAAAUUCUUGGAUUUAUUGAAGACUAACUACUGCGAAAGCAUUUGCCAAGGAUGUUUUCAUUAAUCAAGAACGAAAGUUAGGGGAUCGAAGACGAUCAGAUACCGUCGUAGUCUUAACCAUAAACUAUGCCGACUAGGGAUCGGAUGAUGUUAAUUUUUUUAAUGACUCAUUCGGCGCCUUACG
rnacentral:rRNA from 1 species